GCCAGACUCCUACGGGAGGCAGCAGUGGGGAAUAUUGCACAAUGGGGGAAACCCUGAUGCAGCGACGCCGCGCGAGUGAGGAAGUAUUUCGGUAUGUAAAGCUCUAUCAGCAGGGAAGAAAAUGACGGUACCUGACCAAGAAGCCCCGGCUAACUACGUGCCAGCAGCCGCGGUAAUACGUAGGGGGCAAGCGUUAUCCGGAUUUACUGGGUGUAAAGGGAGCGUAGGCGGCUGUGUAAGCCAGAAGUGAAAGCCCGAGGCUCAACCACGGGACUGCUUUUGGAACUACAUGGCUCGAUUGCAGGAGAGGCAAGUGGAAUUCCUAGUGUAGCGGUGAAAUGCGUAGAUAUCGGGAGGAACACCAGUGGCGAAGGCGGUUUACUGGACCACAACUGACGCUGAGACACGAAAGCGUGGGGAGCAAACAGGAUUAGAUACCCUCGUAC
rnacentral:rRNA from 1 species